rnacentral:rRNA from 1 species
CCUACGGGGGGCAGCAGUGGGGGAUAUUGCACAAUGGGGGAAACCCUGAUGCAGCGACGCCGCGUGGGUGAAGAAGCGCCUCGGCGCGUAAAGCUCUGUCAGCAGGGAAGAAAAUGACGGUACCUGAAGAAGAAGCCCCGGCUAACUACGUGCCAGCAGCCGCGGUAAUACGUAGGGGGCAAGCGUUAUCCGGAUUUACUGGGUGUAAAGGGGGCGCAGACGGCGAUGCAAGCCAGGAGUGAAAGCCCGGGGGCCAACCCCGGGACUGCUCUUGGAACUGCGUGGCUAGAGUGCAGGAGGGGCAGGCGGAAUUCCUGGUGUAGCGGUGAAAUGCGUAGAUAUUAGGAGGAACACCAGUGGCGAAGGCGGCUUUCUGGACUGUAACUGACACUGAGGUACGAAAGCGUGGGGAGCAAACAGGAUUAGAUACCCGAGUAGUC